UGGGGAAUCUUGCACAAUGGGGGAAACCCUGAUGCAGCGACGCCGCGUGAGCGAUGAAGGUUUUCGAAUCGUAAAGCUCUGUCCUAUGGGAAGAUAAUGACGGUACCAUGGGAGGAAGCCCCGGCUAACUACGUGCCAGCAGCCGCGGUAAUACGUAGGGGGCGAGCGUUGUCCGGAAUUACUGGGCGUAAAGGGUUCGCAGGCGGCAUGGCAAGUCCGAUGUAAAAGGCGAAGGCUCAACCUUCGUAAGCAUCGGAAACUGUCAAGCUUGAGUGAAGGAGAGGCAAGUGGAAUUCCUAGUGUAGCGGUGGAAUGCGUAGAUAUUAGGAGGAAUACCGGUGGCGAAGGCGACUUGCUGGACUUCAACUGACGCUGAGGAACGAAAGCGUGGGUAGCAAACAG
rnacentral:rRNA from 1 species